rnacentral:rRNA from 1 species
AGUGAACGCUGGCGGUAGGCCUAACACAUGCAAGUCGAACGGCAGCACAGUAAGAGCUUGCUCUUACGGGUGGCGAGUGGCGGACGGGUGAGGAAUACAUCGGAAUCUACUUUUUCGUGGGGGAUAAGGUAGGAAAACUAACCCUAAUCCGCCUUAGGCCCAACGGUGAAAGGCAGGGGAUUUUCGGACUUUCCGCGAUUAAUGAGCCGAUGUCGGAUUUGCUUGUUGGCGGGGUAAAGGCCCACCAAGGCGACGAUCCGUAGCUGGUCUGAGAGGAUGAUCAGCCACACUGGAACUGAGACACGGUCCAGACUCCUACGGGAGGCAGCAGUGGGGAAUAUUGGACAAUGGGCGCAAGCCUGAUCCAGCCAUACCGCGUGGGUGAAGAAGGCCUUCGGGUUGUAAAGCCCUUUUGUUGGGAAAGAAAAGCAGCAGGUUAAUACCCCGCUGUUCUGACGGUACCCAAAGAAUAAGCACCGGCUAACUUCGUG